CACGUAGUUUGAUCCUGGCUCAGAUUGAACGCUGGCGGAAUGCUUUACACAUGCAAGUCAAACGGUAGAGGGGGCAACCCCUUGAGAGUGGCGAACGGGUGAGUAAUAUAUCGGAACGUGCCCAGUCGUGGGGGAUAACGUAGCGAAAGCUACGCUAAUACCGCAUACGAUCUAUGGAUGAAAGCGGGGGAUCGCAAGACCUCGCGCGAUUGGGAGCGGCCGAUAUCAGAUUAGGUAGUUGGUGAGGUAAAGGCUCACCAAGCCGACGAUCUGUAGCUGGUCUGAGAGGACGACCAGCCACACUGGAACUGAGACACGGUCCAGACUCCUACGGGAGGCAGCAGUGGGGAAUUUUGGACAAUGGGGGCAACCUGAUCCAGCAAUGCCGCGUGCAGGAUGAAGGCCCUCGGGUUGUAAACUGCUUUUGUACGGAACGAAAAGGUUUCUAUUAAUACUAGGAGCUCAUGACGGUACCGUAAGAAUAAGCACCGGCUAACUUCGUG
rnacentral:rRNA from 1 species